GACCAGUCUGGUGUUGGUUGUGACCUGGUCGUUGGCAAAGGACGUACAGGCACCACUUGCUAAGCUUUUUCUGGUGUACACAAACCUGCUGCUGCUGACCUGCCGUUGAACUGACAGACAGAUGCUAAAUGUGGUCAAGUGCAACUUAGUAGCAGCCAAUAGUUGGACUGGACCUCAUCACAGAAGUAUCCAUUAGUAAGUCUGGUUCGUGCACCAAACGGGGACAAGGCCUCUGUGUCUUUACCUACCUACCUCCUGUCAGUUGCCGUGUUUGCAGGGUGUUGAUGUAUUGCAACAGGAGAGCACAGAGUCACCUGAGAACAAGCAGAGAAACAAACUGAGACCAGGAGAUUGGAUAAUAUUGCGAUGGCAUUGUGUGUGAACCUACAUGAUGAUCAUAAUCAUUAAAUGUGAACUCAUUUGGUUUCUCUUCAUUUUGAUGACUUGCCCUGUAUAUGUGUUGUCAAGGAUUAAAGAACAGCUUGAGACAAUGAAGGGAAAUGGCAGUGGCCCUUGAGAGGACUUAGUGCCAUGAUCAGUCAGCAAAUAGGUGGAAUCAUUUCCACAAAAUGUGUGACCACUGUGCACAAAAUUAUAUGACAUGGGUCCAUUUUCCAAGCUGGAACAGAGGUUAUGUCUCUUUACCAAUCCUGUUACAGCACAUCAACACUUUGGGAAUGCAACAGAACAAGGCAACUGACAGGUUAUCGUUACCCGUCACCUGUCACAAAUUGUAUUACUUUUGGAGGUAGUGCUAGUCUCUAGUUCUCUGAGGAGUCAGCAUUUCCUGGUUGGGAAAGUCAGGCUGGCUAAUUGCACUCUGUGUAUGGCGGGGGAAGACAGAGUGCCAAAAUAUUAUACGCCAAGCACAGUUUGGGAAACAGCAGCUUGUCUGCAGUCAGAAGGAAGAACAAAAUUAGAACCACAGCCAUUCUGAAGCUUAAGAUUUCUGCGCAACCUGAAACUUCAUGAAGAACACAAACAAGAGCGCCAACAACUAGAACAUAUCUUUUGAGCUUAUCUCUCCAUUCAUCACUUUUGUGUAUAGCUAUUGUAAAUGAGCUACAAUCUGCACCCUCUCCCUAUACCCUGCAUACAGUAAUUGACAGUUAAGAUGUCAGUGAAAGAAUCAAAAAUAGUAAUUGUAUAUGUCUAAAUUAUGGAGUGUUACAGACCUGACUGCCCAGUUUGUGUACAAAUCAAUGAGGAAUACUUGAGGCUCUGUUGUGGUUUUCAUGCAAAGACAGUGAUUGAGAAAUCCCAUUCAAUGUCAUUGACUGAUUCUCCUCAUUAUUUACUUUGCCUGGAAGUGUGGUCGUUGUGCUGGCCUCUUAUUCUCUUUUCUUUCUUAUCACUGUUCCCUUUACCUUAUUACCUAGUAACCCUGCCCUGUGUUUCCAGUGUGAUACUGAUCACAUGAAAAAGUACUUGUGUACUACAAGAUGUCCUCCAUUUGUAUAUAUCAGAGUAUUAUUACUACAAAAUAAAGGAUUUUCAACUUC